rnacentral:rRNA from 1 species
AGAGUUUGAUCCUGGCUCAGAUUGAACGCUGGCGGCAUGCCUUACACAUGCAAGUCGAACGGCAGCACGGGAGCAAUCCUGGUGGCGAGUGGCGAACGGGUGAGUAAUGUAUCGGAACGUACCAUUGAGUGGGGGAUAACGUAGCGAAAGUUACGCUAAUACCGCAUAUACCCUGAGGGGGAAAGCAGGGGAUCGCAAGACCUUGUGCUCUUUGAGCGGCCGAUAUCAGAUUAGCUAGUUGGUGAGGUAAAGGCUCACCAAGGCGACGAUCUGUAGCGGGUCUGAGAGGAUGAUCCGCCACACUGGAACUGAGACACGGUCCAGACUCCUACGGGAGGCAGCAGUGGGGAAUUUUGGACAAUGGGGGCAACCCUGAUCCAGCCAUGCCGCGUGAGUGAAGAAGGCCUUCGGGUUGUAAAGCUCUUUCGGCCGGGAGGAAAUCGCAUCAGUUAAUACCUGGCGUGGAUGACAGUACCGGAAUAAGAAGCACCGGCUAACUACGUGCCAGCAGCCGCGGUAAUA